rnacentral:lncRNA from 1 species
UUGCCCUUACCUUGAAGUACUUUUAUUCAGGCUUUUGCACUUUAGAUCUUGCUUGGAAAGGUCACCAACCUAUUUUUGAUGUCAUGGUUUAUAUUUUUCAGUUGGUCACCUAUCCAAAUGGCUAGUAGCUCUUAUUUUUGUGCUUUUAAGGUCUAUGCCUUUGCUGAAUUUUCUUUCUCUCAAUGACUUGGGCAAAUCAACACCAAUUGCUAAAUCAAGUCAUGUUAAGUUCAUUCACACAACUUUGAUUUAUUCUCAAUCAAUUGAGGGUCAUCAAUACAUUUUUCACCAUGGCAAACUCAAAGAUUCAAUUCAAGAGGCAAUUCUCAAACAUGAAUACAACUCACUGCAAUUGAUUCAACAUAAGUUUAAAGAGUUAUCACAUCAAUGGGGUCAUGGCAAGAAAAACUCAUCCAACAUAGUUCAUCAGUUUAAGUAGAGCAAAACAAAAAGAAGAAGAAGGUUGUGGUUGUGUG